rnacentral:piRNA from 2 species
UGCCUGCUCUUUAAUCCAUUUCUGAAUGUCC